rnacentral:tRNA from 2 species
GGGGGUUUAGCUCAGUUGGCAGAGCGUUCGCUUAGCACGGCACCGCUUCUUUGGGCUGUCCAAGUGAUUUGCGAAAGGUCGCGUGUUCGACUCAUGCAGUCUCCA